rnacentral:tRNA from 1 species
UGGGGGAUCGUCUAGCGGCAGGACACAAGGCUCUGGACCUUGUUGCCGAGGUUCGAAUCCUCGUCCCCCAGCCA